AGGCGGCAUAUGGACUGCUGACAGAGCAGCUGCUGGGGAAGAAGACGCUGAAAGGAAGCCUCUAGGGAUAAACAGAGAAACCCAUGGCACCACGUGGCACCCAAGGCAGAAUUCUCAUCCCCUUCACGACUGGAUAGCUGCCCACCAAGCUCAGGCUGUGUUUCGCAGCUUCUUUUGCUAUGGAGUGGAUUCUUGCCAAGGGAAUGUGUGAAGGCAUGAUGUGUGAAAGCAGAGAGGACUUGAGGACAGCGCUGCACCGCCCCUCCAAGCUCUCCCUGCCUGCAUAUGCUUUGGAAGAAAUUGAGAUGUUUCCUGAGAUCCAGUGGAGGACUCAGAGCUGCUGAAAAGGCCAUGCUAUUUCCUACUCUCAUUCACAUCCUGCAUUCUUAUCUGCUUACUGGUUUAUGUUAAACACUAAAAACUGAGCCUUGUAAAUUUGGCUCUUUGGAGCCCAUAUAUCUUUUCAUCUCCCCCAAAAUAUCGUUUUUGAAAAUGAAAUUCUUGAUUCUUACAACUUUCAGAUCAUCGUUUGAAAGUUUAAGUUUGAACUGACAUCUUUCUCUUGGCAAUCCAGCUUUAACAAUCCUUACUUUCUUCAAGGCAAUGACCCUCUGGCUGAAAAGAGCAAAUAUAAUGUACAAGGUGUGGGAAAAACAAAAGCAUAUUAAAAUACUUUAACAUGCUAU